GCAAGGGGUUCGUCCCCGGCUAUGGCGAUAAACGGUAAGUGAAAUAAGUG
rnacentral:tmRNA from 1 species